UCAAAUAUUUUACUUACAAUAUGCGUGUGUAGCGUGCAAAAUUAUUAGCAGAAAAUUAUGUGUAGGAAUCAGACCUUCAUACGGGUAAGCACAACUGAAUCGUUUCGCGAUUCAGUCUGAAUCGUUCACGCACUAAAUCGGACUUGAGCACGGAAUCGUUUGGAGCGGUUUCUCACUCUGUAAAACAGCAACGCAGCACUUUAGAACACAGAAAAUCAAAAACGCGUUGGAUGAAGCGGAUUUGUACCUACGAUUGAAAUAAAUAAAUCUGCAAAAGCGUCCUAUAUCGGUUGCCAGCGAUGAGGAAAGUCUUUACGUUCAGCAACUGCACGUGCAGCUUCUGAAAGACUCCUUACUGCAGGGAUGAAACGACCCAUCGGAUGAAUGCUUGUCAGAGAACUGUGACCCUCUCUCUUUCUCUCUCCUCUCCCCCUUUUUCUUUUUUCUCACUCUCACUCGGUAUCCGGAGUUUGCAGGCCUUUCUUUGUGAUCCGUGGUGGAUAAUGGUCAUUCCUGCUGCUCCGGCAAACAGUGGAUCAGGAGAGCAUUUCCAGGUGACCAGAAAGAGACCAUGGGACAGAGUGAGGGCUAAAUUGUGGAAUUACAUGGUGAUCAGUGCUAGAUUUGUUGGACAGGGCCGAAGAUCAAUUGGUCACAGAAGCCCCCAUCUUCCCCCAGUGUAGAGCGUGGGAAAGUCUGAUUGGGUCAGAAGAUCAUGGUUUCCUGGUGAUAGAUGCCAGGCCAGGGGUAUAUAGUGGGCAUGUGUGUAAGACUGGGCCCAACUGCUCUACUCUGCCCUGCCCUGGCACUUCCCUGGCACAAAAUAAAGAUAGCCCAGCCUCGGUGUGUGCCAAUCUGCUGCUUCUCCCCAUGCCUUCUGUGCCAACACCUCAACAAGUUCACAGAUGACUGGUUCAGUAUCUUCCUUGACACUUUUAAAUCCAUGUUUUGGAUUCCAAUGCUCACUUCAUAUACAGAUUAAAUUUAUUUAAGGGGGGGAAAGAGUGGUACAUACAGGGUUAACCGUGUGUGACCAUCUCUCAGUGAGUAAUUCUUAAAAUUGGAGAAGCUUAUAAUGAAACACAUUUGGUCAGGUGAUAAUGACAGAAUGAGGCUGGAGAAUCAGAAUCAGGGUGUGAGAUUGUUACAAACACCAACAUGCCCCACACAAAGGCAGGGGGUCCAUUUAAAGAAGUAGGCCUACAUCUCUCUAGUCUAAAUAACGACUUUAUUUUUUAAAACAUUUUUAAAUUUGAUAUAAACUGGUUUGAUCUGUAAUAGGCCCUACAGAAGAUAUCCAUUUGGGGAGGAAACAAUGUUAUAUUAUAAUGAAAUGAUGUGUAACAUACCUUUUAAUGUAAACUGAGCCAAAACCUUUUUUGGGGGUAACAUUUAGGUGAUUGGGACAGCACAUAUUUUCAUUGAUUUAGGCUAGUGUGAGCAUAUUCAAAUGCAAGAUUUCCCUUUUUUGUUCAUCAUUAUAAAGAGUUUAUAAAUCCAUCCACAGUUCAUAUUUCAUACACUAUACAACACAUGUAAUUGAGGUAAAAGAAGGCAUGAUGUCCAAAAAAUGCUUCUGGUCCAAAAUUCAUAAAAAAAAAAAUAAAAAAAAAAAUAAAAAAGUAAACUGACCCAAAACCUUUUUUCUUUUUAUUAUUUUAGUAACAUUUGGAUGAAAGGUUAUGUGGCCCCAUCCCCAAUAAACUGUUUGACAAACGCAUUUAACCUGCACAAACCUUAACAUGAAUAUGGUGUAUUGCUGCAACAAAAUAAGUUAAAAAAAAUGUUUCUAUUUUCAGAAUAAGGUUGUUUUAUUUUAGCAAAAUCCAGCUAGUUCAUGAACAUUUUCGUGGUUGAUUAGAGGUUGCACAAUGAAGAGGAUGGAAACCAGCAUACAGAGCAUUUUCUUAAUUAGCAAAGUCUUUAAGCACUGUUCCCAUCCAUCCAAAUUGUGUUUGAGUGGAUGGGACAAAAUAAAAACAACCUAAUUCUGAAAACAUAACAUGAUAUUAACACAUUUUUUUAGUGAUUUUGUUGCAGUAGAGCAACAAAGUAGUCAUGUUUCCAUCAAAUGUUUGUGCAAUAUGACACAUUUAUGACCUUAUUAUGAAAACUACCUAAAGCUCAUUUUCCUCACUUCAUGCAUUUCAGGGUCAACUUCCUGUUUGAUGCCUGCCCUGCCCACCCACAUGAUGUCACACCAAUGAGGGCAUUCAAUUUUGAUUAUGUGGUCUCAUCAAUGCUAUCUCAUGACCAAUUCGUACAUAUUUUACAAGGUGGCUAAUUCGUACCAAUUCGUAUGACCUCACUCACGAAUUCAUCCGAUUUGUCUAAACCCCAGUGACAGGUAGGUUUAUGGGCGGGGUUAGGGGUAGGUCAUUUGUACGAAUUCAUACAAAUUUGGCAACUCACAAAAUACGUAGGAUUAGCAAAAAACCUACGAAUUCAUAAUAGUGAGGUCAUACAAAUUUGUACAAAUUAGCCACCUUGUAAAAUACGUACGAAUUGUUGUGAGAUCAGGUUGGUCUCAAGCUGGCAAAAAAAAAAAAAAGGAAGAAAUUCCUUUCACUCAUUAGGGCAAGAAAAUAAUUGGUUAUAGGUUACUGUCCCAGUUGACCUUAUCACCCUGAAUUCACCCCUGUGAUUCAUACAAGACAUGGAAUUGAUUUAAAUCAUUCAUGAAACUUUUAAUAAUGUUUAUCAUGCAUCACAUUUAGUGCCUUAAUUCAGUUUUUACGAUUUAACUGUUAAUUCGACACAGAAAGUAGGCUAUUUCUUCCUUGGCAUUCACUAAAUAAAUAAACGGGCAUAAUAUGGAAAUAUUAAAUAGACACGCCUAUAUUAUAUAGGAAUUCAGGGAGAGGGUUUUAGGGGUCAUUUCUAUGAGAUUUCUAUUCGGUUUCUAUUCAGAACUAUUACUGAAGACUUCAGUAAUAGUUCUGAAUAUAGUUCAUCUCGCUUACACCGGAGGCUACUAGCUACUGUCUUUUGCAGGCUUUUUUAUUUGACUAAAAAAGUUUUAUAUCAUGUGUGUGUGUGUGUGUGUGUGUGUGUGUGUGUAUGUGUGUGUGUGUGUGUACUUGUAUUUAUUACUUUGUGAUAAAAAAAGUACGAAAGAUACGGAAUGUUUGAAUGUUUGACUUUGUGAGGUCCUUUAAUUGGACCCCACAAGGACAAAAUCUUUUAUAUGAGACUAAAUGUUGACUCAAUUUAUUAUCGUCUUUCCCUACACUAUACCUAAACCUACCCGUCACAGGAACCUAAUGUAACAAUUCACAAAACCAAACCUGUGUGUGUGUGUGUGUGUGUGUGUGUGUGUGCGUGCGUGUGUGUGUAAUAGUAGUAAAGUGCUAAAUAAUAACAGUAUUUUGCCUAUGUAACGUUCUGAUUCUAGUGCUAGAGCAGCAUACUGUUGCUAUCACCACACUCUAAAAAAUGUUGGGUUGUUUAUUGUACCCAAUAUCUGGGUUAAACAUAUUGGGUCGCUUUGUUGGGUUAUUCCUAGUGUUUAUUGGGUUAUUUAUAUAUUAACCCACCAUUGGGUUAUCUGUUGGGUCAUUUUUAACUGUUUUAAUCGAGCAAUUCAGAGAAAUGGGAUUUUUUUUAGAAAAACUAGCUUUUCUACUCCCAGUGUUAAUUCAUAUUAGUAAAGCAGAAAGAAGGGGCAUGUUGAAAGCCUUUAGGCUAACUCAAAAUAUUAAGUAAAACAUUCUUCAGUUGCCACAUUGAGCAGUAGGUUAUAGAUGGAUUGUGACAAUUUGAUAUGAUAGCCUACCUGUGCUUUAGGUCCAAUUAAACAAUGAGGACCCAUCCGUGCUCAAAUGUAUGUGUGCAGGCCUAUGUAUUUGCACGGUGAUGUUGAAUCAAUUUGACACCUCGGAAUGAGGGAGAUCUUAUUUUUCACGCUCGUUUCAGGCUGUUGAAAUAAUCUGGUCUCAUUAGUCGGCCGCCGAACUGGUCUGAUUUAUCCAGACUGUCAGUGACCCUGUAGUACCGCGGGUCCCGAAUCAAUCACCGAGCUUGAACGGCUAAACCUGAGACCAAAACGUGCUUGAUUUAUCUACCAAAUUACCGAGGCCUAAAGACACGACCGAGGAAAUUGCGCGCUACUCCCUCAAGCAGUGUACCAUCACAGGCCCACCCCCACUCAAAGGAUCUCAAAACAAAUUGUUGGGGGUCUUACAAACUACAUUAAACGGGUUAUUUCUGUAUACUUUUAAGAACGUUUCCGUUGCAUUUUAAGUCACCCACAUCGCUCGAGCACUUUCAGAAAUGAUCAGUAUCGAACAGUAGCUCGGUAUGUAGGCCUUCUUACAUUAGGCCUAUUUAUAAAUUUAUUAUAUUCCCAUAUCACAGUUAUUUUAGAAAAAAAAAAUUUAAACAAAAACGAUAUGGGCACCAAAAGACAUUAUGGAUUGCACUGACAAGAACCAGUAGACUUGGUCAAUGUGUGGUCAUACAGCUGUAAAAAACAAAUGUCAUAAUGAAUAAGAAGUCAUAGAGAUGCACCGAUACCGAUACCAGUAUCGGUAUCAGGCCCGAAACCAAGCUCAUGUACUUGUACUCGUAAAAAUACCCCCGAUACCAAAAGACCAAUACCUCACGUGACGUAACUGACAGAAUUUUCCGGAAACGCUCGCUCUCUCGCGCAUGCGCGAUCUCAGUUCUCUAAGACAGCGCACAAUCAGUUCUCCUUGCGCCUGGAUGGUCAAAUGCACACAUACUGUAGUUGUCAAAAUGUCCAUCGUGUGGAGUAUCUCACGUAAAUACAGUCGGUUAUGGCUUAAGUGGACGUAAACAGGUGGGUGAAAACAGGAUAUAUGUCAGAGUAUAUUACAUCCAUGGAUUCGGUCUUAAGGGACAGUAGCCUAAUUAAAUAUUUGUCUGUCAUUAAUGUUAAUAAAACAACAAAAGAAGUUAAAUAAAUGUAUAUAUAAUAUAUAUCAUGAAAUAAAAUUUGUGCUGUAAGUUUGUGACAAACACAUAAAAAUUAUUACUUUUUUCAUUUGAAUAAUAAUAAAGAAGCUGUGCUACAUUCAUUAGACUCACUGUGUUGUUUUUGGAAAACUGCCACAUCAAACAAGAAAAAAAAAAGAAAUUAAUAAAUGUAUAAAGGCAUCGGUAUCGGUAUCGGCGAGUACCAGAAAAAAGUAUCGGUACUCGUACUCGGUCCUUAAAAAUGGUAUCGGUGCAUCCCUAGUCAUUAUGUUCCGAAAAUUUAGUCACAUGAAAAUGCAGAGUGAAUUUAGCAAACCUUUGCAAUGCAUGACCUGUUAUAAGUGUAGCAUAAGGUGACGUUAAGUAUGAAAUUGAAUGUAUUUAUCGCCACUGAACUUCGAGAGGGUGAAAACAAAUUCAUCUAAAAGCAUCUUUAUAUGGCCAUAUUAAGGGUGCGCUGCAGCAGGGUUUGUCUCUGCUCCAAAUUCAGUGUAAAUACGAUGGCACAGUAUAUGUCAGCUUUGAACCAUAGUAAAUUUGACUCUGUUGCAGCUGCUUCUGUAAAUGGACUCUUAAAAAUAAAGGUUCCAAAAGGGUUUUUUUGCAGCAAUGCCAUAGAAGAACUAUUUUUGUUUCCUCAAAGAACCUUUCAGUGAACAGUUCUUAAAAGAAUCAUUUUUAGUGUGAAGAACAUUUGAAUAAUCUAAAGAAUCUUUUUACACUAUUAAGAGCCUUUUGUGGAAUGAAAAGGUUCCAUGGAUGUUAAAAGUUCUUCAUGGAACCAUCAAUGCCAAUAAAGAACCUUUAUUUUUAAGAGUAUAGGCUACUUCUCAAAAAUUGUUGUCAUGAUCAUUUUUAAUUAUUUGUAUUUUAGUUUCAUAUUUUUAUUUAGAAAUUUAGAUAUUCAUUAAUAAUUUCAAAUUUUCUAUAUUUACAAUUUAAUGUUUAAAAUACUUAAUAACAUUAUUUCUGCAAUUAUUGAUGUAUUAAUGCCACGUCUGUGUAUCUUUAAACAGUAGGUGUAUACAAUUUUUAAUGGGGAAAUGACAUGAAAUUAUUUAGGAAGUUGAUAUCCUGUGAAUAUUUGUAGGGUACAUCGGGGCUAAAGGCGCACCAGGGUAAAAGGCGCGUUUGACUUUAUUCUCCUUUAAACCACUAGAUGGCAGAAAAAUUCAGCAUAGGACUUUUCUUAACAGCCGCUUUUAAUGAUGCACGUGGAAAUUUGGCUGAUUCUUGACGUGAUCCGCACUAAUUUGAUCUAAUAUUUAAUGUUUGCUUGUUUGUUUGUUUGUUUGUUUUUAAAUGUUGUAGAUUUAUGUAGCAAAUGAGAAUCUAUAAAAUUAUUGUCUAUACUUUAAGACAAAGGUCUUGUUAAUGGUUUUCAGUUAAUAAACCAACAGUUUUUCAAUAACGGAAGAAUAUGUAGCCUAAAAGUAUGUAUUUGGGGUAAAAAGCGCACCUGCUGUUGGGGCUAAAGGCACAAUAAUUAACAUGAUAAUAAAUAGAUGGCUGACUUAUCCAUUUGUUGACAUGACAAGGCUAGAUUCAGAUGGUAAAUAUCGCAUAUCAUAUUGGGUAUCCACCUUAGAGAUAAUACCCAUAUUUAUAAACCAUCAUAUUUAAGAAUAUUAUAUUAAUCAUAUCAUAAAAUAUAUUUAUUGUGUUACUGUAAAGCGUUAUUAAAUUAUUAUGGGAUCUCAUUCAAUGCUUUCAGAAUCUUUACUUUUUUUAAUAAUUUUUGUUUCUGUAUUUUUAAAAUGAACAUAUUUUAAUGACACAAUUCUUUUAUUUAUCGAAAUAUACCGAAAAUAGUACAAACUUUGAAAAAGUGAUUGUUUUGAACAAGUAUUGGCCUAACUUAGACAUAAUUUAAAACAUAUUAUUUUAGCUAAAGUAUUUCUAUCAACACUGUGUGCCUUUUGCCCCAUGCUGGUGAGUCUUUUACCCCAUAUGUGGGGUAAAAGGCGCACACCUCAUACAUUUAUAAGAUUUUUUAACAAACAAACCCAUUUUAUGAUUUAUUUUCACACAAAAUCUGUUGCUCCAUCAAUGUUCAAUAAACAUAUAUAUUUUUUCUGCAAUCUAUGGGAGUAGUGAAAAGCACAUGUUUCUUAGUGUCUGCCAUUUUAUCCCCGUUGUACCCUACUUUUAAAAAAAAUAUAUACUGCAGGAAUAUGUAGAAUAAACCUAAAAUCACCUAGAAUAUACUUUUAAACAUUCACAUAAAUAUUAACAAAAUUGUCUUGUUAAUUGGGCCUAAGAAAAGUCCAUGCACUGUUAUGUCAACUAUCCAUACGCUUCUUUGCCGCCAAUGCAAAGAAAUUAAGCGAGAGUGAGAAUUGACGUUGAGGCUAAUUAAUUGUGCAAAGGUUUUCUUUUUAAAUAAAAAUGUGACAUGCAAUUAAAUGAGAAACUCAACCAGCAUUAAUGAAACUUGAUGUCCUAAUUUCACAACACAAUGUUUUGGGCCACCAUCCACGUUAAGGUUUUUAUGGGUGGAUUUUAAAAAGACAACCCCGUUGUCCGUUGUCUGUUCACGCGGCUCUAGGGUGGCAAUCUCUCCCGGGAGAAAAGAGGAAAUGAGAUACGGAGAUAGAAGGCUACGGGAGGUGGUAAAUUAGCUGCCUGAUCCGCACUCAUUGGCGCAUACACUUCCCCCAUUAACUCGCCCUGACAGCCACACUCUCUCCACCACCCCCCUCUCGCUGCUGUUUCUCCACUCGGUACCCGGGGCAUGGCGGCCUUGUAGAUUUAUCAUGCGGAGAAAUGAAUGUAUGAUGAUCAGUUAAAUUGAAAAUCAGCAGCCGGCUGUCGAUGAGAAGCAACACCUUCGUAAUUAGCAAGAGAAAUUGCGGCUUACGGACAGAUAAUAGCGUAAAAACAAUUUACACUCCUCCCUUCUCCGUUUAUAAUGAGUCUCAGGGCUCAAAGUGAAAACUUUUUACUCCCUGAAUCUAUAAACCGAGUUCAUAACGUGUACAAGACUAGAUUACAGCACUGGGGGGCUGACCAGACGUGAGGAGAGCCUGUAGUCUCAUCAAUUCAUUUAGUAGAAAUCAAUUCAUUGUUUGUCUUAAUAAAUUAUUAUGCCUACUAGUGCUUGCAGGAUCCCGAGUGAGUGGAUGUGCAUUGUAAUGGGGAUGGCCGACCUUCACAAUCAACUCAUAUAAAAUAUGCCACUGUAAAAUAUUGCCUUUCUUACACUCAUUUCGUCCUACACUCAUAACUACACUAAAACAUUUAUGUUUCUCCUCGCUGAAGUAGCACAUCCCCCCAGAGAUGAUCCCUUCUCUCAUUAUUUUUCCUAUAAGCUAGGUCUCAUGCAGUGCAAAUAGCAGUAACCCGAAAUAAGAAAUUAUGUAAAUGUUAUUAAGGCUGGAAGAUGUCAUUCAUAGGGUAAAGCUCCAGUCCCUCCGUUUACUUUUAAUUUAUUUGCAAAUACAGGGGCUCAAUGAAGAUGACCGGAGGGUGGCGGUUUUACAUUCGUAAAAUACUGCCCACUUGUACAGAAUCUAAACUGUGUGUUGAGAAAAUCUUUUAAGAAAUGUGAUAAUUAAGGGUUUGCUUAAGAACCUAAAAUUCAUCGCAGACCCAUGCUGGGACCGUCUUCUUGUCAAAGACAACCUUGAUCAUAUUGAUCACCAUAUGUAGCCUAGCCUAUUUAUUAAUUCACUUAUGCCCGCUACACUAUUUUCCAGUGCAGAUGCUUUAAUGUGCCAUGAGUUGACCGUAACAUUAUUAGAGUAAACUGGUCUGCAUGGUUGUGUGUGUGUGUGUGUGUGUGUGUGUGUGAGAGAGAAAGAGAGAGAGAGAGAGGAAGAAAGAGAGGGGGGCUGUUCUUAUAUAGAGCGACAAAUGAUCAAUAGGCCGAUAAGGCAGGAACAUCAAUGUACGCGACAGAACAAUGAGGGAUAUCAUCGAACAUCUAUCUUAAUAUUGCCGCCUACGCGUGCCCUGACAGGCCCAUGCGCCUCAUGAAAAUUCCACCCCGCGAAUCACUCAGGCUUGCCUCACUGUGCGCGCGCGCACACACACAUCCUCACACGUACGCUCGCAGCUGCCUGGGCUAUUAUUUCCCCAUUUCAAUCUGACUCGCCAGCCUUUCAUGCUAAUUCUAUUAUUGUUGGAAGUUUAUGUGAUUUCAUAUCGCUGGAAUCGGUAAUGUAUAAUAACCCUUCAGGCUAACAGAAAAAAAAACGUAUCCUCCCAGCCGCCACCGGGAAAAUAAUUACUUUCAUAUCAAAACUCCACAGGAGCUGACCGAGUCCUACCGCCCGCGGCGUGAGACCUCAUUUUAACUGGAGGUUUUGAA